rnacentral:rRNA from 1 species
AGAACGAACGCUGGCGGCAUGCCUAACACAUGCAAGUCGAACGAGACCUUCGGGUCUAGUGGCGCACGGGUGCGUAACGCGUGGGGAAUCUGCCCUUGGGUUCGGAAUAACAGCGAGAAAUUGCUGCUAAUACCGGAUGAUGACGUAAGUCCAAAGAUUUAUCGCCCAAGGAUGAGCCCGCGUAGGAUUAGCUUGUUGGUGAGGUAAGAGCUCACCAAGGCGACGAUCCUUAGCUGGUCUGAGAGGAUGAUCAGCCACACUGGGACUGAGACACGGCCCAGACUCCGUACGGGAGGCAGCAGGUGGGGAAUAGUUAGGACAAGUGGGACGAAAGCCUAGAUCCAGCAAUGCCGCGUGAGUGAUGAAGGUCCGUUAGGGUUAGUAAAGUCCGUUACCUUUUAACCCGGAGUAGUACG